CAGUCGUACCUGCGGAUAAUCAGCUUUUUGAGUGUGAUUAUGUGGUUUAUGAGGAGUUUAACCGCCUUCAUGUAUUGCAUAUUUGUGCUCUUGGGUGUACUUGCCCGUGUGGUUGGUUAACAUCAAUUUUGGUGGUCAUAAAAUGACUGGAGGAAUGUAGCUUUGGUCUCGUAUCGAAGUGUUAUAGACUCUGGUAGAUGUGACGAUUGGGAUUGAGGAUUGCAACGGAUACCCCUUUGGGGCUACCCGUCUGAUCUCUGAAGGUUGCUCCGGUG
rnacentral:rRNA from 1 species